CUCCCCUUACCCCUUACCGGGAGCCUGCUUCCAGCCGGGACCCAGCCGGCACAACAGCUCCCCUUAUCCCUUACCAGGAGCCUCUUCCAGCCGGGACCCAGCCGGCACAACAGCUCACCUCACCCCUUACCGGGAGCCUCUUCCAGCCGGGACCCAGCCGGCACAACAGCUCCCCUCAUCCCUUACCAGGAGCCUCUUCCAGCCGGGACCCAGCCGGCACAACAGCUCACCUCAUCCCUUACCGGGAGCCUCUUCCAGCCGGGACCCAGCCGGCACAAAGGGAGCGAGCUACAGCUCGGGGCUGCAGUUUGCCCUCUGCACGGGUGGAAAUAGCGCACAGUGCGUCGGGACUUCGGCCUUCCAGAAAACUCUCGCUUCAGAAAGGACUUACAGAAACAUCGCUCACGACAAUGAAAGGCCUCACUGCCCUUCUUCCUCGCUGAACAAAAGGAAUCAAAGUCUAUGAAGCUGCCCAGGUGUUGAGCAGUCAUUUCAAGCUUCGGCCUGAAUUAUAUUCAUGGUAUAACACAUCCCACUCCGGACUUGUGCACGUUGGCAAGUCUCUAGUUUGGUUCCAUCUUAGCAUACAGCUCAAAAGAAUAAGGGAGUUACUACUGCAGUGAUGCAGACACAUUGAAAGCUAUCUUCAAGUCAGGGACAGAAGAUCUGCACAGAGAUGUAUCAUGACAGGACAAGAGCCAGCAGUAAUUGCUGCAGAAGAAAUUCCAUCUGCACAUAUGAACAAAACUCUUUCCCUUGAGAACAAUUAACACAGGGAAAGUUUUCCCACAGAACUGGUAGAAUGCACCUCACUCAAAUUACCCAGGUUUAACUGGAUAAUUCAAUCUGUGAUGCUGCCUUUAAUUAGGGACUGGAACAGAAGAUCCCCCAGAAGUUCUUUCCAACCUAGAUUGUUCUGUGACUCAGUGCAGUUACACCACACAACCCAGUACCAUGCUGAGAAGCUUAGACACUACUCCAAGCCAGCUGCAACAUACACAUGGGCAGUAAGACACACUUAACAGGUAAUACCGCAGGUUGGAAUUAACAUGUUGUUAGCAGGGAAAAUUAUUCUGCUUUUUACAGCUUCCAGCUCCAGAGCCAGCUUAUUAGGUGCUUCAAACUUGCCAGUGUACCUCUGAUGUUUUAGACAGACUUUAGUUUUCUGCACAUCAUUCAGUCCCAGUAAAGAGGAGUAAAGCAAAGCCAUUCUUUAUACAGACCACAGAGAAACUAACCUGAAGGCCACAGUCAACAUGCAAGCAGAAACUUGAUGCUACUAUUUAAU